rnacentral:rRNA from 1 species
GAUGAACGCUGGCGGCGUGCUUAACACAUGCAAGUCGAACGGAAAGGCCUCAGCUUGCUGGGGUACUCGAGUGGCGAACGGGUGAGUAACACGUGGGUGAUCUGCCCCGCACUUUGGGAUAAGCUUGGGAAACUGGGUCUAAUACCGAAUAUGACCACUUCUUGGAUGUUGUGGUGGAAAGCUUUUGCGGUGUGGGAUGAGCCUGCGGCCUAUCAGCUUGUUGGUGGGGUAAUGGCCUACCAAGGCGGCGACGGGUAUCCGGCCUGAGAGGGUGUACGGACACAUUGGGACUGAGAUACGGACCAGACUCCUACGGGAGGCAGCAGUGGGGAAUAUUGCACAAUGGGCGCAAGCCUGAUGCAGCGACGCCGCGUGGGGGAUGAAGGCCUUCGGGUUGUAAACUCCUUUCGCUAUCGACGAAGCCACUUGUGGUGACGGUAGGUAGAUAAGAAGCACCGGCUAACUACGUGCCAGCCGCCGCCGUAA